rnacentral:snRNA from 1 species
AGGUUUGCACAGUGCAGUAUUUUAGGCAAUGAGGUUUAUCCGAGGCACAAUCAUUGCUACUUGAAAAUUAUUCUCUUCCUCAUAAUCUUUGUAUGCAUAUUAGAGUUAAAAAAUG